ACAACUUUUACUUAAAAGCUUAAUUAAAAGUUUGCCUACGUAACUAAGCUCGCCGGAAAUUGCUGACCGGACCUGAGGCCUUAUCAUCUCAACCAAAGGAUCCAUGUUUGCGGUCUCUCCCAUAUUGUUAAUACAUCUUUUUAAGUUCAGUUUGGUCAGUUCCAUGGAGAUAAGCCUCAACACAUAAGUUUCAUAGCAGAAGCAUGCAAGGUGUUCGAUUUAUUUCCUCUGAGAAUUUAGAAAUAUAAUCAACCCCAUUUCAGUCCAACAAAAGAGAACAGCUACUCCUAAAACCUUUCUGUAAGCAGGUGACCAUUGUGAAAAAGAGAAAGCGCCUCACGAGCGGUUAAAGAUUCCCAAAAUUAGACCCAAUUGCUAUGAAUGCGCCACUUUCUGCUGGACAAAUUCGGCCAAAUGGAGAGAUUCCUAACCCGAACAAUGUCCAAUUUACUUACGCUGACUCUUUAUCAUUAGCACCGAAGAAGACGAGGCUUCAAAUCAAACCUCCGGAGAUUUAUAAAGGCAAAUCGGCUGCUUUCUUCACCCCUCAAGAAGAGGAGGAACUAGCCAAAGACUGUCGAUUCACAAUAAUUGGGAAAUUCUCUCAUGGCAAACCUAUUCUCGCUGAUAUUAGGCGAGAUUUCCUCUCAAAGGUACGGUAACCAUUGGCCAUUACAAUCUUAAACACAUUUUCCUGGAUUUCUCUAUUGAAGAAGAUUAUUUGAACAUAUAUUCUAGAAAAAGUAUUUGGUUUCUGGGCUGUUUAAUGAGAAUGGUUACUUGGACCAUAGAUUUUAAUCCGGAAGAAGAAACGUGGUUAGCCCCUGUAUGGAUUACUUUGCCAGGCCUCAAAUGGCAUUAUUUUAACUGGGAUGCUCUGCUUCGUAUUACAUCCACUUUUAGUACUCUUCUAAAGAUUGACAAAGCUACUGAUGCUAAAACUAGACCUAGUUCGGCUAAGGUUAUGGUGGAGAUUGAUUUAGCUGUACAAAGAAGGGAUUCUAUUUGGGUUGGCCUCAAAGGGGAGAAUGGCAAAGAGAUAGGAGGUUUCUCGCAGGUGAUUGAGUAUGAAUUUGUGCCGGAUUACUGUUUUUCUUGCAAACACCAAGGUCACAUUGAAGAUGUAUGCUUAGCCUAUGGGAAGAAAGAUCAUAACAGGGCAUUUGGCACUAAUGCUACCCAAAAUAUUGCUUCUUCUAGCAAUAAUUCUAGAGCCCGUUUGGAUUGGCUUAUAAGUUGCUUAUAAGUUGCGUAUAAGCUGUUUUCAGCUUUUUCGAGUGUUUGGCUGGCCAGCUUAAAGUCAUUUUGUGCUUAAAAUAAGUUCAAAAAAAUAAUUGGGCCCAUUUGACUUAGCUUAUCUAAAGCAGCUUAUAAGCUGUAAGCCAAAAAAAAUAAGUUAGGCUACCUUAACUUUUUUUUUUUUUUUUUUUUUUUUUUUUUUUUAACUUAUAAGCUGCAAACAGCUUAUAGGCAUAAGCCCAUCCAAACAGGCUCCUACUGAUGUGUUCAAUACUCAUAAGGUUGGGUCUAAGGUAAUUCUUGGUGAUGUAGUUGCUACUGGUAAUCUGAAUAUGAAGAAUGUUGGUGUGAACAAUUCCAAGCCUGCUGAAAUUGCUAAGCCAAAAGAUGUUACCUCAAUUUCUAUGUUUGCUGGAAAUUCUGUAAAGAAGGAAGUGAAUCAAUCAAGUGCUAAUAUAUCUAUUACUAAUACUAGUUCGCAAGCUCCCCUAGCUGAUAACAAGUUGAAGCAACAUGAAAACCAACAAAAUUUCUAUUAUCAUAAGAAUUUCAGGCUCAAGAAUUUGUUAAGUAGACAGAGGAUACAACAAGGCAUAAAGGUUAAGCUGAAUAGAAAACUUGUGAUGAAGUGGGUUGCAAGGCCACCUAAGGACAACAACCAACAACAGAAUCAGGCACAAGCUACUGAGGUUAUUCAGGAUAUUAUGCAGAACUAUAACGCUGUAAUAGUGGAUCAGGGAACCACCGAUGGUAGUAAAGAGGUUGAGGUUGGUAAGGUGCACUCUGAAUUUCAUUUUCCAGCAAUUAAGCUUGUUUCAACUUCCAAUUCUUUUCAGCCUCUUGAAAAGGAUAUUAUGGAAAGGGAGCUAAUUUCUUCUGAGGGUAUGGUAAAAAAUAACACUAACUCAAAUAUUGCUUCCUCUAACAGUACUUCUGGGGCCAAUUUGUUCAAGAAAAGGGUUGGACUUCAUUUUUCAUCAGCAGAUGUUAAUACAAUUGCCAUCACUAAAGAUUUUGCUGGAAAGCCUAAGCUUGAUAAUGAUUCUGCCAACAAGAUACGGACUGAAAUACCUUCUACACUUAACAGUUUUUUUCCCAGUAUAUCCGGGACUCCACCAAAAAAGGUUCACAAUGAUGUUUAAGGUAUUAACCGUGAAGUUCAAUUAUGGAGUCCUAGUGUUUUAGUUGAUGCUCCACUUCAAAUUUGUGCUCCACUUGAUGAGAAUCCUAAUGGGAAGCAAGUCAAUAAUGAAGACAUCAAUGAAGAUGAAGAGAGUGAAUAUGAUUCUGAUUAUGCUGAAGAGCAGGAAAGUGACAUUGAGGAAGAUCUUGAUGAAGAGUUUGAAGAAUGUGAAUCUUCUGAUGAAGAGGCUCUUAUUAAUGCCUUUGCUCCCAAAACUUCAUGGAAAGGUGAAAAGAUGGAAGAUGCAGUGUCUCAACAUAGACAGACUUUGAUCAACAAUGGCAAUCUAUCUCCAAGAUCAGUAAACAGGAAUGGCAAUGAAAUUAACAAAGAUUUGAUAAAACCAGGCCCUGUUACAAGGGCAAUGGUGAAAGCAUCUCAAAUAGGUGGAACAUCCUCUAAUAGUCUUAAUGAUUAGUACAAUUGUUUGGAAUAUUAGAGGAGUAAAGUCUAGAGGGGCUUUUGAAAGAUUAAAAUUCUUAUCCCAAAUUCGCAACUCUCAUAUUAUAGCUAUUCAGGAACCUUUUGUUGAUGCUUGCCAUAUUGACAAAUACAGAAGAGGCUUUGAGGGGUGUAGCUCAAAUUGCAAUGGUAAGAUUUGGAUUCUCUGGUCUAGUGAAUUUCAUGUGGAUGUAGCAAAAGAUGAUGAGCAACAACUUACUAUCAAAAUGACUAAUAAGAAUAAUGCUGAGGUAAUUUGGUUCACUGCUGUAUAUGCUAAAUCCAAGCAACAUCAGAGACUUCCCCUUUGGGAUAGUCUUAGAAAUUGUAACAACUUCAUUGAUGAACCUUGGUGCGUUUGUGGGGAUUUUAAUGCUAUUAUGAGUCCUGAUGAAAAGAAAGGGGGAAAACCACACAGAAUGGAGAAGAGUUGGGAUUUUAUUUCUUGUAUGAAUGAUUGUGGUAUGGUGGAUGCCGGUUAUAAGGGCCUCAGGUUCAUAUGGUGUAAUGCUAGAGAAAGAAGCAAGAGAAUUUGGAAAAGGUUGGACAGAAGUUUUAUUAAUCAUCACUGGACUGACAACUUUUCCAUUAUUGACAUUGAACAUUUAGCAAGCACAUGAUCUGACCACACUCCUAUGAUUGUAAAAUGCUCUGCCUCAGAACAAUCUAAAAUCAGGUAUUUCAAAUUUUUGAAUUUCUGGAUUGAUCAACCGAACUUCAAAGAUGCGGUACAAGAAGCAUGGAAUGAAGAAGUAGAGGGUAACAGUAUGAGAAGACUACAACUCAAAAUGAAGAACGUGAGUCGCAAGCUUAGCAUUUGGUCCAGAAAGCAAAUUGGGAAUGUGUUUGAUAAAGUUAAAGAAUGGGAAGCUAAGAUGCUGGAUCUUGAAACUGAUUAUAUUGACAAUGAUAAUGAUGAUUUGAGACCUCAAGUUCAUAAAGCUCAGGCUGAACAUACUAGGUGGUUGAACUGUGAACAAUCCAUUCUCAGGCAAAGAGCAAAUAUCAAUUGGUUAAAGGAUGGAGACUCCAAUUCUAAAUAUUUUCAUGCUGUUAUUAACGAAAAGAGAAGGAAAGCUACGAUUCAGAGGAUCCAGUCAGAAAAUGGUCUAAGGAUCAUAGGGGAAGAACAGAUUGCUAAAGAGGCCGUUGAUUACUUCAGUAAACUUUUCUCUGAUGAUCAAGAAAUUGAACUUCACCACUUAGACUGUAUAAAUCGAAGAGUUAAUCAGGAAGACAACAAUAUACAAUAUGCUGGAGGCUAUUCCAAAUGAAGAUGAAAUCAGGGAUGCUGUGUUUGGACUCAAUGCUGACAGCACUCCAGGGCCUGAUGGUUUUGGAGGUUCUUUCUAUCAAAGUUGUUGGGAAAUCAUCAAACAUGAGCUGAUUGAGGCGAUUCAACAAUUUUUUGGAGGGACAGGGUGAGAAAAGGAUUCUUUUGACUCUACUAGGGGGCUUAAGCAAGGUGAUCCUCUAUCCCCCUCUUUAUUUGUUCUUGGGGCAGAAGUCUUAUAUAUAAUGUUGAACCAACUGCCCCACAUUCAUCCAUAUAGGGGAUUCGGUUUGCCCUAUAAUGGUCCACACAUUACUCACCUUGCAUAUGCAGAUGAUGUUAUUAUUUUUACCUCUGGCGGUAAGAGAUCUCUUGAAUUGGUUAUGCAUCAACUUCAAAAUUAUCAAAAGUGCUCUGGACAAAGGAUAAAUAUCAACAAGAGUUGCUUCCUGGUGGAACCCAAGGCUUCUAACAACAUCAUUCAGAGAAUUAAAGAGGUAACUGGUUACAAACAUUCUAACUUUCCCAUUACUUAUUUGGGUUGUCCUUUAUAUGUAGGGGUACAGAGAAUUGCUUACUAUAGUGAGAUGAUAUCCAAAUUGGUGAAAAGGACUACAGGAUGGCAAGGUAAACUUCUUUUGAUUGGGGGCAAAGCUACUUUAAUCAGGCAUGUCUUGCAAUCUCAACCAAUUUAUCUUUUGUCUGCUUUAGAACCUCCUAAAACUGUUUUGUUGCAACUUGAAAGUUACUUUGCUAAUUUCUUUUGGGGUUCUGUUGAGGGUAAAAAUAAAUAUCAUUGGAGUUUUUGGGAUAACAUGUCUUUUCCAAAAGAGGAAGGUGGUCUAGGGUUUAGAAGUAUUUUUGAUGUUAGUAAGAGUUUAACUAUGAAAAGAUGGUGAAGGCUUAGAAUGUGUAAAUCUCUAUGGGGUACUUUUGUUUUAGCUAAGUAUUGUUCUACUCAUCCUGUUGCUUCUACUAUUCAACCUACUCAUUCCCUUGCUUGGAAACAAUUGGUCAAAAUUAGAGAUCUAGUGGAAGAACUUUUAAUUUGGAAAAUCAAUAAGGGAAAUAGUAAUUUGUGGUGGGAUAACUGGUGUGAAAUGGGUGUUGUAGCUCAGAUUAUUCAUAGAAAUGAUUUUAAUUAUGCCCAAAUUGUCAGUGCCGUUAUUACUAAUGGGAAUUGGGAUAUAGAUCUGUUACAGCUUCCUGAAUAUCUUACUGAACACAUCAACUCCAUUGAAAUAGGUAAUCCGGAUCUAAUUGAUACUCCUAUUUGGAUGCCUAACAGUAAUGGUACUUUUUCUACUGCUUCUGCCCGGAGACAUAUUAGACAGAAAAAUGAGGUUUCUUAUUUUUUAAAGAAGAUUUGGCAUAAGCAUUUACCUUUUAAAAUGUCCUUAAUGUGGAGAUUUUUAAAAAGAAACUUUCGUUUUAAUGACACUAUUGGUACUAGAUUUGGAAUUGACAGUGAUGCCAGGUGUUUUUGUUGCCCUAAUGAUCAAAGAGAUACUAUGCACCAUACUUUCAUUGGUGGGAAAAUUGCUGAACAAAUGUGGAAUUUCUUCGGAAAUCCUGUUGGAAUUUCUUGGGAGUAUAUACCUAUAAGGUGUAUGCUUCAAAAGUGGUGGAAUAUCAAACCAAAAAACUCACUUCAUCAGACUAUUCUACAAAUUACUCUUGUAGUAAUUUGUUGGGAGAUAUGGAAAGCAAGAUGCUCAGUCAUAUAUGGAGGUAACAAAUGCUAUAUACUAAGAGGAUUCAAUAUAAGAUUCUUUCUCAUCUGAAAUGGGUUGUCUCCAAAGCAAAGAGUAAUACUGAAUGCAGCUCCAGGUGGGAAUUUAUGUAUCAACAGGUUGUGGGUCUUACUCCCAAGAUUGAAUGUAAUGUGGUUAAAUGGUUGAAGCCCCCGGAAAAUUGGGUGAAGAUCAACACGGAUGGAAGUAGGGAUGCAAAUGGAAGAGCUGGAAUUGGAGGAAUUUGUAGAGAUCACAGAGGAAAGAUUAUCAUGGCAUUUGCUCGAAGUAUUGGAAUGGAUAAUAGUAAUAUGGCCGAAGCCAAGGCUGCUCUAAAUGGCCUGGAAUGGUGUUCUCAAAAUGGGCAUAUCAAAGUAAUUUUGGAGUGUGACUCUAAGAUUGUGGUUGAAAUGAUCAAAGGUAACUAUAAUAUCCCUCGGCAAAUGAAGAACAUUAUUAUUCGUAUUCAAAAUAUCUCAAGUGCUAUUACUUGAGAGGUUAGACACUGCUUUAGAGAAGCCAACCAAGUCGUAGAUGCUUUAGCUAAAUGGAGUAUUACAAACGACGAACUGAUUAUUUUUGUGCAAACGAGUCUCCCAUCCACAGCUACUGGAUCUUAUAGACUAGACCUCGUGCAAAUGGAGUCUCUAAGGCAUAGGCAGAGAAAGAAUAUUUUUGUAUAAAUGCUACUGUUUUUUAUGCUGUUACUACUGAAUUUUGAUGUUGGACUGCUCUAGUAGUGUUGUUUUUCAUGCUGCAUCUGUUUGUUUCAAAAGCCCCUGAUGAAGUUCAGAUGGAUCCCCAACAUAUUGAUGGAGGAUUGAUUGGUGAUCACUA